CCUACGGGAGGCUGCAGUGGGGAAUAUUGCGCAAUGGGAGCAAUCCUGACGCAGCGACGCCGCGUGUGGGAGGACGCCCCUCGGGGUGUAAACCACUGUUGCCCGGGACGAACCCGGAGUUUCGACUCCGCUGACGGUACCGGGUGAGGAAGCACCGGCUAACUCCGUGCCAGCAGCCGCGGUAAUACGGAGGGUGCGAGCGUUGUCCGGAAUCACUGGGCGUAAAGGGCGCGUAGGCGGCGCGGGAAGCGUGCGGUGAAAGCCCGGGGCUCAACCCCGGGUCGGCCGUGCGAACUCCCGGGCUCGAGCACUGUAGGGGCAGGCGGAAUUCCGGGUGUAGCGGUGGAAUGCGUAGAGAUCCGGAAGAACACCGGUGGCGAAGGCGGCCUGCUGGGCAGUGGCUGACGCUGAGGCGCGACAGCGUGGGGAGCAAACAGGAU
rnacentral:rRNA from 1 species